UGAUUCAGUGGCUGACAGGAAGCCCGUCACCUCGCCUGCUGCCCGCCAGUCUGGCGUUGGCGUCGGUUUGGGCAGGUGUGCGGGUGCAUUUGUGGGCGCAGGAUGGGGUGGCCACGGUGAGGAGUCCCUGACACUCAGCGUACAGGCGGACGCCGGGUGGACAUGAGCCUGGAGACCGAGCUGCUGUGGCCAGGGGCGGCGCUGCUGCUGCUGCUGGGGGCCACCGCUGGGCUGUGUGUGCGCUGCUCUCGCCCAGGGCUGAAGCGGUCGGAGAAGAUCUAUGAGCAGAGAAACCCGCAGGAGACUCAGCAGAGCUUCGCGGUGGCGCGGACCUAUUCCUUGGUCAGGCAGGCCUGGCCAGGGCCGCGGAUGGACACGACCCCUGACAUGGCCGCUGCAAGGUUCGACAAGCUGCUGCGCUUCUCCACCCCACUGGAGGGGAGCAGACGGGACUCGGACGCAGCCUACAUAGACCCCAUCGCCACGGACUAUUACAACUGGGGGCACCCGAAGAAGUCCCCGGAAGACGACGACGAUGAUGCCAACUCCUACGAGAACGUCCUCAUCUGCAAGCCCAGGACCCCCGAGUCAGGCGGCGAGGAGACCGAGGAUUAUCAGAACUCGGCGUCCAUCCGUCAGUGGCGAGAGUCCAGGAGGGCCGCGGGGCAAGGCCUGGCGGCUGGAUGUCCCUGUCCAGCGGGAAGCCCAGACGAGGACGCAGGGGAGCCCGACUACGUGAAUGGGGACCUGACGGCAGCCCGGGAAGCCUAGGGGAGGCCGGGGAGGAAGGUACGGCGCCCCGGAAGCCCAGGGGAGGCCGGGGAGGAAGGAGCCCUGGGGCCCUGGUCAUGGCCCAGCCCACUGUCUCCCAAGGACUGCUUUCCAGUGCUGUCCACUUCUGGGUUCCUGCUGUGGUCACCCCUGGAGAGGACACUGACAGACACCUCCCGAGGACCACCGUCUGUGGGGAACAGCCUGGGAGAAUUACCAUGAAUGGCCGAGCCCGGGCCCCAGCGUGUCCUCCCCCAACCCGGGCUUCCUUGGGGCAGGCGGCUGCCACCUGGCUCCCACGUGACGGGGUGCCACCCGCGCCCUGGGCCUGUGCGACACUGGCAUUUGCGCCCCUUUUGCUUUGGAUUUGGAUCCCAAAUUGCUCACUAACGUUGGUCUCUGUAAAUCACUAACGUGGUCCUUCAGCCUAUUGAUUUGUGCAGGCGGGACCGUAUUUACGUUCUGGGCUUGGGGGGGUCUCUCUCGGUGUCACGUCCUCCACUUCCCCACAGCACCGAGGGCGCCGGCUCCCCUCGACCCUUCAGCGGGGGCUUCUCUGUGCUUUGGGCUUCUGUUCACUUGGGAAGAAUCAAAGCCGGGGCCAUUGUGCUGUCCCUUUAACGAAAGGCUCCCUGCUGCGGACAAGGUGUGUCCCAGUGGGGUUCAGUGGCCCACCCCUGUGCUGCCAGAGCCGCGGGAGGCGGGCAGUUAGACCCCAAGUUCAAGGCCAGCUUCAGCAACUCAGCCAGGCUACCUGGAGAAGUAACGAGCAAGGACACGGCCAGAGGUCAAGUGCACCCACGUUCAAGCCCAAUAGGGGGCAGCACACUGGGAGCCUGGUGGUCAGAACAGCGGCCCAGGGAACUCUCCUGAGCCACAAAUGCCACUUGGGGAAACAAAACGUGCCCUCCCACCGAUACACACCAAUAAACCACUCCAG